UUGAACGCUGGCGGCAGGCCUAACACAUGCAAGUCGAACGGUAACAGAAAGCAGCUUGCUGCUUUGCUGACGAGUGGCGGACGGGUGAGUAAUGUCUGGGAAACUGCCUGAUGGAGGGGGAUAACUACUGGAAACGGUAGCUAAUACCGCAUAACGUCGCAAGACCAAAGAGGGGGACCUUCGGGCCUCUUGCCAUCGGAUGUGCCCAGAUGGGAUUAGCUAGUAGGUGGGGUAAAGGCUCACCUAGGCGACGAUCCCUAGCUGGUCUGAGAGGAUGACCAGCCACACUGGAACUGAGACACGGUCCAGACUCCUACGGGAGGCAGCAGUGGGGAAUAUUGCACAAUGGGCGCAAGCCUGAUGCAGCCAUGCCGCGUGUAUGAAGAAGGCCUUCGGGUUGUAAAGUACUUUCAGCGGGGAGGAAGGGAGUAAAGUUAAUACCUUUGCUCAUUGACGUUACCCGCAGAAGAAGCACCGGCUAACUCCGUGCCAGCAGCCGCGGUAAUACGGAGGGUGCAAGCGUUAAUCGGAAUUACUGGGCGUAAAGCGCACGCAGGCGGUUUGUUAAGUCAGAUGUGAAAUCCCCGGGCUCAACCUGGGAACUGCAUCUGAUACUGGCAAGCUUGAGUCUCGUAGAGGGGGGUAGAAUUCCAGGUGUAGCGGUGAAAUGCGUAGAGAUCUGGAGGAAUACCGGUGGCGAAGGCGGCCCCCUGGACGAAGACUGACGCUCAGGUGCGAAAGCGUGGGGAGCUAACAGGAUUAGAUACCCUGGUAGUCCACGCCGUAAACGAUGUCGACUUGGAGGUUGUGCCCUUGAGGCGUGGCUUCCGGAGCUAACGCGUUAAGUCGACCGCCUGGGGAGUACGGCCGCAAGGUUAAAACUCAAAUGAAUUGACGGGGGCCCGCACAAGCGGUGGAGCAUGUGGUUUAAUUCGAUGCAACGCGAAGAACCUUACCUGGUCUUGACAUCCACGGAAGUUUUCAGAGAUGAGAAUGUGCCUUCGGGAACCGUGAGACAGGUGCUGCAUGGCUGUCGUCAGCUCGUGUUGUGAAAUGUUGGGUUAAGUCCCGCAACGAGCGCAACCCUUAUCCUUUGUUGCCAGCGGUCCGGCCGGGAACUCAAAGGAGACUGCCAGUGAUAAACUGGAGGAAGGUGGGGAUGACGUCAAGUCAUCAUGGCCCUUACGACCAGGGCUACACACGUGCUACAAUGGCGCAUACAAAGAGAAGCGACCUCGCGAGAGCAAGCGGACCUCAUAAAGUGCGUCGUAGUCCGGAUUGGAGUCUGCAACUCGACUCCAUGAAGUCGGAAUCGCUAGUAAUCGUGGAUCAGAAUGCCACGGUGAAUACGUUCCCGGGCCUUGUACACACCGCCCGUCACACCAUGGGAGUGGGUUGCAAAAGAAGUAGGUAGCUUAACCUUCGGGAGGGCGCUUACCACUUUGUGAUUCAUGACUGGGGUG
rnacentral:rRNA from 1 species